rnacentral:rRNA from 1 species
ACUACCCGCUGAACUUAAGCAUAUCAAUAAGCGGAGGAAAAGAAACCAACAGGGAUUGCCUCAGUAACGGCGAGUGAAGCGGCAGAAGCUCAAAUUUGAAAUCCCCCGGGAAUUGUAAUUUGAAGAGAUUUGGGUCCGGCCGGCAGGGGUUAAGUCCACUGGAAAGUGGCGCCACAGAGGGUGACAGCCCCGUGAACCCCUUCAACGCCCUCAUCCCAGAUCUCCAAGAGUCGAGUUGUUUGGGAAUGCAGCUCUAAGUGGGUGGUAAAUUCCAUCUAAAGCUAAAUACCGGCGAGAGACCGAUAGCGAACAAGUACAGUGAUGGAAAGAUGAAAAGCACUUUGAAAAGAGAGUGAAAAAGUACGUGAAAUUGUUGAAAGGGAAGGGCUUGCAAGCAGACACUUAACUGGGCCAGCAUCGGGGCGGCGGGAAACAAAACCACCGGGGAAUGUACCUUUCGAGGAUUAUAACCCCGGUCUCAAUUUCCUUGUUGCCCCGAGGCCUGCAAUCUAAGGAU